GCAAACAUUUUCUCUCAGGCGGAGAGAGGUCAUGGAGUGUCAGCCUAUGGUAUCUGAGGUCCAGGAGAGAUGACCUGCGCUGUUUUCCUCUGAGGAGAUAUCUGAAAAUUUCAUCGGAUCACAAGCAAAGACCUCCUGGGGACCUUCAAUGCAUCCCUUGACAAAUUUGGGCCUGGCCUGCUGAAACUGUACUGGUCUAAGAAGGGAGCUCUUGGUGAGGAGAUGGAAGACCUCCUGGAUAAACUUGAUGAACAGACAUCCAACACUGUGUCCAACGGGCACUGAGAGGCCUGCCCAUUUUCCUCAAGAGAAGAUGCAGCAGAGGUUUUCCUGAAGUGCUUAGACACUGACAUUUUGGAACCAGUGUUGAACGGUGCAUCAGUUGCCAUCCUCACCAUCCUACAAGAUGACGAUGCCGAUACGUCUGUGCGAGAACAUGCAGUUGUGUUGGAAGGGGACAGGCUACAGAACAUUCCAGAUCUCUCUACUGCCCUGGCAUACCUCUUUGGCCUUCUGUAUGCCCUCAACAUUGAUUAUCCAAAGCAGAUGAGUUUUACCUUUGAAGCAAUUCAGGCCAUCUUAUUUUGACCUGGUCGGACAUUAUGAAGGCGAAGUGGAUAAAUCAUUAUUCGAAAUGUAAAUUUUAGUCAGAUGAAUCUGUAUUGUUGACAAUAUAUGGUGAAAAUUUGUCUUGUAGUAUUGUAAAAAACUUGUUAUAGUGUUAGUUUCCUCUUCAUUGAUGGUAACAUUUCUAAUAACUUUUAACUUCCAUAGUUCAUCAUAGUAAGCCUGUGUAAAAUGUCAAUGUCUGGGUACAUAGGCAAUCGUUUGUGGCACUACCCUAUUUAAUGUGCAAUAGUAAUGUUCAGCUUUUACAAGACAGUCAGGGUGUGUGUGUGUGUGAAUUAUUAAGUUGCUGGACACUUUUCUUUUUUGGUUCUGAACUCUGGAAUUUUAACGUCUCUGCUGGGGUGCUCAAAGCACCCAAAAGAAACUGGCAACACGUUUUUGUUUGUUUGUUAUUUCUUUUCUUUCUUUCUU